CCUACGGGUGACAGCAGUGAGGAAUAUUGGUCAAUGGGCGCGAGCCUGAACCAGCCAAGUAGCGUGUAGGAUGACUGCCCUACGGGUUUUAAACUUCUUUUAUAAAGGCAUAAAGUGAGGCAUGUGUGCCUUUUUGUAUGUACUUUAUGAAUAAGGAUCGGCUAACUCCGUUCCAGCAGCCGCGGUAAUACGGAGGAUCCGAGCGUUAUCCGGAUUUAUUGGGCUUAAAGGGAGCGUAGAUGGGUUGGUAAGUCAGUUGUGAAAGUUUGCGGCUCAACCGUAAAAGUGCAAUUGAUACUGGCAGUCUUGAGUACAGUUGAGGUAGGCGGAAUUCGUGGUGUAGCGGUGAAAUGCUUAGAUAUCACGAAGAACUCCGAGUGCGAAGGCAGCUUACUAAACUGACACUGACAUUGAUGCUCGAAAGUGUGGGUAUCAAACAGGAUUAGAUACCCUAGUAGUC
rnacentral:rRNA from 1 species